UGUGUGUGUGAGUGACAGAGUGUGUGUGUCUUUGAGUGACUGUGUGUGUGAGUGACAGAGUGUGUGUGUCUGUGAGUGACUGAGCGUGUGUGUCUGUGAGUGAGCAUGUGUCUGUGAGUGAGCAUGUGUCUGUGAGUGACAGAGUGUGUGUGUCUGUGAGUGACAGAGCGUCUGUGUGUGUGUCUGUGAGUGACAGAGUGUGUGUCUGUGAGUGACUGUGCGUCUGUGAGUGUCUGUGAGUGACAGCGUGUGUGUGUGUGAGUGACUGAGUGUGUGUGUGAGUGACUGAGUGUGUGUGUGUGUGUCUGUGAGUGAUUGUAUGAGUGUGUCUGCAUGUGAGUGUAUGAGUGUGUCUGUCAGUGUAUGAUGAGUGUGUUUGUCAGUGUAUGAG